AUUGAUCGCUAGCGGGAUGUUUUACACAUGCAAGUCGUACGGAGUGGCGGACGGGUGAGUAAUAUAUCGGAACGUGCCCAGUAGCGGGGGAUAACUACUCGAAAGAGUGGCUAAUAACGCAUACUAUUGGAGCGGCCGAUAUCGGAUUAGCUAGUUGGUGGGGUAAAGGCUCACCAAGGCAACGAUCCGUAGCUGGUUUGAGAGGACGACCAGCCACUCUGUGACUGAGACACGGCCCGGACUCCUACGGUAGGCAGCAGUGGGGGAUUUUGGACAAUGGGGGAGGCCCUGAUCCAGCCAUCCCGCGUGUAUGAUGAAGGCCUUCGGGUUGUAAGGUACUUUUGGCAGAGAAGCGGUAUCUGCGGAAUAAGCACCGGCUAGCUACGUGCCAGCAGCCGCGGUAAUAC
rnacentral:rRNA from 1 species